AGGGUCCCUGCCGUGGCCUUCCCCGUCUCUGGAGUGCCUCCUGGUUGAAUGCUUGGUCCCCCUGAGUUUCUGUUUGCCUCUCUCUGGGUUGUAGGUGCCUCGGCUAACAAAUUGCGGUACUUCAUCAUUCAAGACUUCCUGAUCUCCUGUGGGGCUCAUUUCGAAGCUGUCGGACCGGGACGAUUGAGAUGCAUUCAGAGCCUGAGCCUGGGCUGAACCUGAGGGAGACUUGUUGUGGAAACGAAAGCGCCGGCCGGUGGCAGAUGAAGUUGGCUGGAAGUGUGAUGAGGAGGAGUAGGAGGAAACGCUGGAGCAAGAGUCCACAGAGUCCAGGGAGUCAGGCUGCCUGCGGAGAGCCCGGCGUCGGGGGCUCUGUGCGUCAGACCUCCGAGGCCAGGGGGAGGUCACCAUGGGACCUCUCUCUGCGAGGGGAGGCCAAACAUGUCAGGGUUAAAGCUUUUUGAAUAUUUUCUUCCUUAUACACAAACAGAAAGUGAAAGGCUCUCAAUUUGCUCCGUCAACACCCUCUCUUCCUGCUGCAUGGCUGCCUGCUGAUGCUCAGAGAUUUCUGGAAAAGAGUCGGCUCUCUCUUCACCAUCGCUCUCUGUUAUCACAGCAUCAGGCACAAACGGCAGCCGAGGGCUAACCGGAGGCGAGGGCGUGUGGUAGCUCAGUCGCUGUACGUGGCCUUUUCCCUAAAAACAAAUCAAAGGCAGAGGUCGUCUUGUCACUGUUGUCCACAUUUCACUUGUGCUCCAUUCAUCAAAACAGACUGACCAACAAUAAAUGAAAUAGUUACAGCACAUUCCACCACUUAUAAGCUACACAUUUACACAUGCAGUGACUGAACCACAUACAUGACAUGCAAAGUCCAAAACAACACAGCAGCACUAAACCUCUGGUCCAAAAUACAGAUACAUACAGUACAGCAAAAUGAUACACAAAUGUUACCUUUUUGGCUGCAUUUGGCUGCUUCAGGUUUAAGUGAGAAGCAAAAAGGAUAAAAUCAGUAACGCCAGGUUUAUAAAGGUCAAGGUUUUAAUCCUAAAUGACUUUAUUGAACAGCUGUGUACGAGUUGUGGUGAGCUAACAGCAACAAAUAUAUCUGGUAGUUAACAAUGAACAAUACAAACAUGUAAGAUAUCAACAUGACUUUUGAUUGGGAAAGGUAAAAAAAAAAGGGACACACUAGACGUUAUAAGGGAGGGAAA